ensembl:lncRNA
CUUUCUGUCUUUGGAACCAGAUCGGAGUAAUACCAAGAACAUCCUGGUUAUUACAGAUCACUUCACCAAGUAUGCAGUUGCGAUACCAACCAGGAACCAAACUGCUCAGACUGUUGCCAAAAGUCUAUGGGACAAUUACUUUGUACACUAUGGGUUCCCAGAAAAAUUGCAUAGCGACCAGGGGGCAGACUUUGAGUCAAAAAUGAUAAAAGAACUGUGUAAGAUUGCCGGAAUACGUAAAGUCCGAACCACCCCUUACCAUCCAAGAGGGAACCCUGUGGAGCGAUUUAAUCGCACACUUCUCCAAAUGUUGGGAACACUGGAGAAUGAGAAGAAAUCUCAGUGGAAGGAAUUCGUAAAGCCCCUGGUACAUGCUUAUAAUUGUACCCGGAACGACACUACGGGAUACACACCUUACGAACUUAUGUUCGGACGGCAACCCAGGUUGCCAGUUGAUUUGGCUUUUGGAUUACCGGUGGAUGCCCCUACAAAGUCACAUUCCCAAUAUGUGCAAGAUUUGAAAGCAAGAUUGCGAGAAAGUUAUGACAUAGCUACUAAGAAUGCUGAGAAAGUGGCUGGACGUAACAAAAGGAGAUUCGACAAAAGAGUGGUCGCUUCUAAUCUGGAAGAAGGAGACAGAGUUCUUGUGAAGAAUGUGAGACUAAGGGGUAAACACAAAUUGGCUGACAAAUGGGAGCAAGGAGUUUAUGUAGUUGUCAAAAAGGAUUCGUGAUUUACCUGUUUACGCUGUCCAGCCAGAAGGAAAGACAGGCUCUCUAAGGACUUUGCAUCGAGACCUGUUAUUACCCUGUGGGUUUUUGCAGCCAAGCAGUCCUGAUAUACAAUCUAAGGGAAAGGUUACUAGGAAACCUAAGACCAGGAGUUCUUCUAAUGAUGUAGAGGUGCUGGGAUCAGAAUCUGUCGCCGAAAGCCAAGAGUCUGAGGAUGAACAAAUCCUAUGUAGUUGUUCCAGGGAGAUCCUUAGAAUCUGACAUUGAGAUUGUUACAAGUUACUUACCUCGUGUUCUGGAAGGAACAUCUGGCUUACCUGUACCUGAGCCUGUGAGGAAGAGCUUACCUGCCCUGGAAUCCGAAGAGGAUUUUUCAGUGGAACCUGUGGACGAAUACUUACCUGAAGAGCAACCUGUGGAGGAAAAUGCAGGAAGUACUGAGUUACUGAAUGAGGAGAAAAGCAGUGAGGCAAAUGAAAACCGUCAUGUUGCAGUUUCACAGAAAGAACAGACCGAAAAUGCUGAUCUUGAGGAUAUUAUUCCCAGACGCUCACAGAGAGAGCGACACCCCCCUAAAAAGUUUGAAUACCCCACAUUAGGAAAUCCACUCACCACAGUGUUUCAGUCCUUAUUGCAAGGCUUAAGUAAGGCAGUCGAGUGCUCCUUUGAAGAGUCUGUGGUUCCCCCUAUCAUCGAUGUGUAAAUGCACAGGGACGUGCAUAUAUUCCGUGAGGGAGGAUGUAACCCAGGUUACAAGAGCCAGCACCUGUGAAUAGAGAAAAAUAUAUAUUACUACAUAUGUAAAUAAAAUAAGACUAUUUUAUUAAUAUCAUCCCAUUAUUUUAUUCAUAUUCAUAUUAUAUAUCGAAUUCUCAACUUAUACUAAGUGAAAUAGUUAAUAACAGAAAAUGUCUAGGAAAAUAAGCAAAAUUAGAAACUGGCCGUUUAAGAGUAACCCCUCCCUCAAGGUUGACGUCAAAAAAAAAAAAAAAAAACAGAAAAAGGGGACUGAGGAGGACAAACAGAAAAAGGGAGAGAACGGUGAGAAGCGGAGACAUGGCGAUUUAGCAAAAACAGCUUUUGAACAGAGAUUUAAAGUGUUUUAAGUUAAGUCGAUCUGUAAGAGAAGUGUUUUGAAAUAUGAGAACAGUGUUCGCUCGUUAGCAGUAAAGUGGUGCUUACAUUAGACGAUCGCGAUUGCACUGGAUCUGAAGAAAAUAGGAAACAGAAAAAAGUUAAUUCACUCGAGAGAAACCAAAAGAGAGAUUUUUAUUUUUCCAUCCGGG